AUCCCACGUGCGUUUAUCAGCUGUUCGCCGAUGGAAAAUUGGAAACCCGAUUUCAUGCAAACAAAACGUCUGAAUUCUAAAUCUGAAUAUCUGUUUUCAAAUACCUUACAGGCUUCCCACAUAUAUUUUAUCAUAAGCUUCUGUAAAUUUCUUCGGUUAAUUGCUAUAAAAGACACCGAAAAUGUCGAUUUCAAUGAAGAAAAGAAAGCUGCAUGAAGAUGAAGAAGAUUCAAGACCAACUAAAAUUGUUUCUACUAGUAUCAAUAACAAACAAAUAAUUUACAUUCUCCCUGAUUGUAUUGGACCCAGAAGACUUGAAAUUAUGGAGAAGUCUGUUAACAAAAUGGGCCUUACACUAUCAACCAGAAUGACAGCCAAUGUAACUCAUGUCUUAUCAGAACUUGAAACUAAAGAGGAUGUCUUGGAAAGCAAAGAAUUCUCGAAAUUCAAAUCCUGGAAAGGUUAUAUAUUACAUGCUAAAUGGCUUGCUGAAUGUGUCAGAUGUCAUUCUUUGGUAUCAGAAACUGGGUUCCUGCUACCUUCCAUACCUUCUCAUGAAAAGAAAGCUGACGAUGUUGUCCCACAUGAAGAGAUUCCUUUGUACCCAAUUCCAGAAUUUGACUUGAAGGCAUUUAAUGAAUGCAUCCCUGAAAGAAAAGCUAUCUUGGAUCACCAGAACAAAGAAAUAGCAGCAGCCCUUGAUUUACUAAGUGAAUAUUGGGAAAUUUGUCAUCAAACGAAAACUGACGAAAAUCGUGCUCUUGCUUUCGCACGAGCUGCCGCUGCCAUAAAAUGCUUACCCUUCAAGGCAACUAACUCACAACAGUUAAAAGGGAUUAAAGGUCUCGGAAAUGGUCAUGCGCUGCGAGUUGCAACCCAAAUUCUCGAAUCUGGAUAUUGUCCGGAAGUGGAAGAAAAGAGAAACGAUAAGAAAUUUCUCUCACUCCAGAUAUUUUGUAAAGUCUACGGAGUUGGCCCAUCUAUUGCUGAGAAAUGGUAUGCCCAGGGUCUACGCACGGUUGAAGACGUAAAGAAACUUGAUCAACACGACAUUGCCAAUAACGACAUGAUAGCACACGGAGUGGCUUUCUACGACGAUUUGAAUCGACCGCUGUUGCGGGCGGAGGCCGAAAAUACGUACAAAUACAUCACAGAUUUAGCAAAGCUCAUCCUGCCGUCUGUCGUGACUAGCAUGAACGGAGGAUUUCGCCGCGGGAAAUCUUCUGGUCACGAUCUGGAUGUGCUAUUUUCGUAUCCGGAGCGCGAGGAUGGCGAUUACGGUUUAAUUGCAGCCGUUCUAGACGAAUUGAACAAGAAAGGUCUGGUCGUUUGGUCACGAGCCACGCACACAGACGGGCCACGGAAAGUUAUCGAAAUUAUUUCCAGCCCACUUUCCUCUGGUUCGACAAACGAACAUUUGCCGACGACGAUGAUCAUUUUUAAGUACCCGCUUGACGAUCGAUUCGAUGAAUUCGAACGGCGCGACUUUUCUGGUGAGAGAAAUUUAGGACCUUUCCAGUUGGCGAAUUUGAACCGACAAUGGCGCGCUAUACGAGUGGAUCUAGUCGGGUCAACGAAUGCGCAGUAUCCCUAUGCUCAGGUCGGCUGGACGGGCAGUAAACAGUACAACCGCAGUCUUCGGCAGUACGCCAAGGAUAGCCUCAACUACUCUUUGAGCAGCAUGGGCCUGCACGACAAUGGCCAGGAAACGGAACCGAAACGAGAACAGGGGUCGCCCUAAUAACCUGAACCGUCUGGGCACUCUGCACGGCAAUCAAUUCGCAGUAUGUACACCUCUACCGAGUGGCCAAAGGACCAAGGACCUCUAGCUGCUCGCUGAGAUAAUAACGGAGCCCGAAUAUAGGAAGCCCAGAUGACCUCAAACACACACCCGAGACCACAAGAACUAAAAUAAUGUCGCGGCAGUCCUUAAAAAAAUAGAAAAUGGCGGGGACAGUUAUUCGUGUUCAAUGACGUGUGAGAAAGAAGAAGAAGAGAGACCAUUCAACAAAGGAGAAGAUGAAACACGGGCGAUCUAUUAAGGUGUGUAAUGUGAGUGACCGACCCGAGACAGCUCGUCCAACACCUGGGAUCCCGUGGAUCCAGUCACGUGUUUAGCGCCACCAUUUGGUAACUCAUACAUCGGCAAAACAUCUACCCCAACCAAAAUAUCAACAACAACAACAAAGGAGACGGGUUGAAGCAGAUAGAGAGAGAAAA
rnacentral:misc_RNA from 1 species